rnacentral:hammerhead_ribozyme from 1 species
AUCUAGUUGAUGUGUCUCAAAUAGAACGAAACGCGCAUCUUAGAU